AUUAUUAUUAUUAUUAUUAUUAUUAUGUCUUGCUUUCUUUUUGCUUGCUAGUGAAUUCUAGUAACUGCCACUAUGGUGACCUAGCUAUUCAGCUGAUAGGGACUAUAGUGAUAGGAACUAGUGAAAAUCAAUUAAGUUAGAUAUUUUCUAACAAAAAAAGAAACAAUUAAAUGUAUUUUUAACUUAAUUCCAGAAUAAUUUAAGUAAUUAAAUGAGAGACCAUGCUCAAGAGCCAAUAGAUUUUACAUUUCCUGCGUAAGCCUCCUGGAUUUCUAAUAAACUGUUUCUUUAGUCCCUAGAGUUGGGGAAUUACAGCGUUGAAAUGACAAGAUUCAAACUUCUUAUUUGAGAAUAGUUCUAAUGAGAGCAAUUGUUUAAGGACUUUGAAGCAAGUCCCUGCCUUGGUAUUGACACAUCUGGAGACAAAUUUAGUUGUAAAAGUUGCUUUCCAUUGCUUUGUGUGUGAGAAAAGGACUGAUGGAAUGACAUAAAACCUGAAAAUUUUCAAAGCUCUCCAUGUGGCUGGGAUGGACAACAGAAUUGUUGAUGCUCUUUCCUGCCAACAGAUGGAUUGCAUCAGACAACUGGCUCCAGAUGCAGAUGCCUGUCAAGAUCCAAAGCCUGCAUUUCUAUGGAGGCUUGGAGAGAUAAGGUUGUAUGGUCGUAAGGCCUCUCCUUAGCUCCUAGUACUGUGAGAAGUUGUAAGAAGAAUGGUAGGGAAUUUGAACAAUUUAGGUCAGGGGAGGGUCUUCAGGCUCUUUGACCGAUCCUUAUUUCACAUGUUUUGCGAUUUUCUGUCCAAGUGAAGGAUAGGUGCCUGGCUGUACAAUACAUUAGGGCUUGUUUGUCAGGCUGGCCUUUGCUUCCAGGGCCCAAGGGUACCAGAAAAACACAAGUAACUUCAAAGUUCACAAAACAUUGGAUGGAUGGUCCUGGGAGCAUGGUAGAGUGUCUGACAGGCAUGAACCAUUAUCCUCCAACGUCCUUAUGUGGCUAGGGGGCAUUUUGUCAAUCAUUUGUGCCUCAAAUUAUGAGGCCAUUAUGUUCCAUGUGGCAUCUUUGACUACCUUUUUGGGGACUUGCAAGUUAAUGAACUGGUCAUGUUGUCUAGAAGGUAUGUAUUGAGUACAGCAUCGGAGCUGAGGGAUUUUCAGGGCAGCAGGUAGUAUUGCGGAUCCGUACAUGAUCUAAGAUGGAACAGAAGAGAGUAGGAGCAAAGUAACAUUGGGGUUUUGUAUUGAUAUGACUUUAUGUACUGUGUGUUCAUUACACAGUUAUACACAGGUCAGGGUAGCUAGACUAGGUUCUUUAUUUUCUCAUGCUGACUUUUUGCCCCUUACCAAAUACCAGUUUUUGGCCAUUACCUCCAAGGCCUUGCAGCACUUGGGCAUUAGGUUUCUCUCUGCUCUUGCACCUUUCCAGGUUCAAAGCAGUUGGAUAGGUUUUAUGUUAAAUAAAGUAGU